rnacentral:rRNA from 1 species
CGGGGGUUUGCCUUAGUACGGCGAGUGAGCGGCAAAAGCUCAAAUUUGAAAUCUGGUACCUUCGGUGCCCGAGUUGUAAUUUGGAGAGGGCAACUUUGGGGCCGUUCCUUGUCUAUGUUCCUUGGAACAGGACGUCAUAGAGGGUGAGAAUCCCGUGUGGCGAGGAGUGCGGUUCUUUGUAAAGUGCCUUCGAAGAGUCGAGUUGUUUGGGAAUGCAGCUCUAAGUGGGUGGUAAAUUCCAUCUAAAGCUAAAUAUUGGCGAGAGACCGAUAGCGAACAAGUACAGUGAUGGAAAGAUGAAAAGAACUUUGAAAAGAGAGUGAAAAAGUACGUGAAAUUGUUGAAAGGGAAGGGCAUUUGAUCAGACAUGGUGUUUUGUGCCCUCUGCUCCUUGUGGGUAGGGGAAUCUCGCAUUUCACUGGGCCAGCAUCAGUUUUGGUGGCAGGAUAAAUCCAUAGGAAUGUAGCUUGCCUCGGUAAGUAUUAUAGCCUGUGGGAAUACUGCCAGCUGGGACUGAGGACUGCGACGUAAGUCAAGGAUGCUGGCAUAAUGGUUAUAUGCCGCCCGUCUUGAACCCCGGACCAUCUUUUCCUCCGCUUAUUGAUAUGCAA